UGGGGUGUAGCUCAGUGAUAGAGCAUUUGCCUAGCAUGUACAAGGCCCUAGGUUCCAUACCUACCACUGCAA
rnacentral:tRNA from 1 species